rnacentral:rRNA from 1 species
CAAAGGAAGCGAUUCCGGCGGGGGAUGGGCAUGCGGCGCAUUAGCUAGUCGGCGGGGUAACGGCCCACCGAGGCGACGAUGCGUAGGGGUUCUGAGAGGAAGGUCCCCCACACUGGUACUGAGACACGGACCAGACUCCUACGGGAGGCAGCAGUGAGGAAUAUUGGUCAAUGGGCGGGAGCCUGAACCAGCCAAGUCGCGUGAGGGAAGACGGUCCUACGGAUUGUAAACCUCUUUUGCCGGGGAGCAACGGGGUCCUUGCGAGGGCCCAAUGAGAGUACCCGGAGAAAAAGCAUCGGCUAACUCCGUGCCAGCAGCCGCGGUAAUACGGAGGAUGCGAGCGUUAUCCGGAUUUAUUGGGUUUAAAGGGUGCGUAGGCGGGCUGUUAAGUCAGCGGUCAAAUGUCGGGGCUCAACCCCGGCCUGCCGUUGAAACUGGCGGCCUCGAGUGGGCGAGAAGUAUGCGGAAUGCGUGGUGUAGCGGUGAAAUGCAUAGAUAUCACGCAGAACUCCGAUUGCGAAGGCAGCAUACCGGCGCCCGACUGACGCUGAGGCACGAAAGCGUGGGUAUCGAACAGGAUUAGAUACCCUGGUAGUCCACGCAGUAAACGAUGAAUGCUAGCUGUCCGGGACUUCGGUCCUGGGUGGC